rnacentral:rRNA from 1 species
UGCCAGACUCCUACGGGAGGCAGCAGUGGGGAAUAUUGCACAAUGGGGGAAACCCUGAUGCAGCAACGCCGCGUGAGUGAAGAAGGUUUUCGGAUUGUAAAGCUCUGUUAGCAGGGAAGAGGAAGGACGGUACCUGCAGAGGAAGCCACGGCUAACUCCGUGCCAGCAGCCGCGGUAAUACGGAGGAUGCGAGCGUUAUCCGGAUUUAUUGGGUUUAAAGGGUGCGUAGGCGGGACGGUAAGUCAGCGGUAAAAAUGCGGAGCUCAACUCCGUCGAGCCGUUGAAACUGCCGUUCUUGAGUGAGCGAGAAGUAUGCGGAAUGCGUGGUGUAGCGGUGAAAUGCAUAGAUAUCACGCAGAACUCCGAUUGCGAAGGCAGCAUACCGGCGCUCAACUGACGCUGAAGCACGAAGGCGUGGGUAUCGAACAGGAUUAGAUACCCGAGUAU